rnacentral:rRNA from 1 species
UACGGAGGAUGCAAGCGUUAUCCGGAAUGAUUGGGCGUAAAGCGUCCGCAGGUGGCUGUGUAAGUCUGCUGUUAAAGAGUGAGGCUCAACCUCAUAAAAGCAGUGGAAACUACACGGCUAGAGUGCGUUCGGGGCAGAGGGAAUUCCUGGUGUAGCGGUGAAAUGCGUAGAUAUCGGGAGGAACACCUAUGGCGAAAGCAGCUGCCUGGGCCUUUUCUGACGCUAAGACUCGAAAGCUGGGGGAGCAAACAGG